UCCAGCCCCACGUCACCUCCCUGUGCUCGGCCGUGCUCCGUGAAUGGCCUGUCCAGCUUCUCCUGCAGCAUGGAGAGAGGCCACGUGGAGGGUGUGCCCAGCCCAUGGCCCACCCAAGGUCCCCUGUGUAUUGGUGACCCUGCUUGGACCUUGCAACCCAGCCCAGCCCCACGGGAUGCAGCCACGAGGUCAACCCAGCCACACCUCAUGAAGCGGACACGGCCACCCCGACCCUUCUCUAGUCCUGCACCCAGAGUUGUGACUGUAAAGUGGGGGUUGUUUUAAGCCACCAAGCUCUGGGGUAGUUUGCUCCAGGCAGCAGGUGACUGAGACACUGCCCUGUGGGACUCCCCAUUUCUGCACUCGCUCCCCUGUAUGGGGGCUCCUGGAUCAUGCCAGGGUCACGUCUGAUAAACCCAAUGUUAGUUGAAAGCCUCCAGAUGAAAGGCACUCAGUGCACUCCGCCUCCUGAAUAUCAUUGUUCGGCCUCCCGGCCUUCACCAUGUGCAGACGCUGACGUCAGCACAUUCGACAAAGUCCCCAAUUCCCUUGCUCUGUUUCUAAGGCCCCGCCACCCCCACGCUGUGGCUGCGCUUCCUUGUCCUCAUCCUUGUCCACCUGUGUUCUUUCCAGGUGCCCUGAGUGGACUGGAGGGGCACAGGGCAGCCUGGCACCUGCUGAGCCCUUGCUGGGGCCAUGCUGUCCUGAGCCCCUGCUGAGCACCUUAUGGGGACAUGAGUGGGGGCUCAGUCUGGGAAGGAGGAGGGGAGGCCUGGGGAGAUGGUCUGACUAGCUCUGCCCAGCCCCUCGGUGCUGUCUGGGGACAGGCUGGGGUCCAGGGCCUCCCCAGAUGAUGGGACCAGUGUCUCCAGGGCUCUGCAGGCUGGUCGGGGCGGCUGACCUGGGCAUUUCUUCUUCUGGCUGCCGGGAGGCAGCAAGGCCCCAGGUUUGCAUCUCA
rnacentral:lncRNA from 1 species